UGUGCGCGAGUCACUGGGAUCAUGUCUAAACCCAGAGGCGCAGUGAAAGCGUGGGGCUCGCACGGCUUAAAGCCGCGUCGAGCCGCUAAGGGAGGACGGCCGGUCGUUCCCGAACGGUGCGGCCGGCCAGCACUCCCGGGGCGCCUCGGCUCCGGCCGCAGGCGCACCCGGAGCGCACACGUUGGGACCCGAAAGAUGGUGAACUAUGCCCGGCCAGGACGAAGUCAGGGGAAACCCUGAUGGAGGUCCGCAGCGAUUCUGACGUGCAAAUCGAUCGUCAGAGCUAGGUAUAGGGGCGAAAGACUAAUCGAACCAUCUAGUAGCU
rnacentral:rRNA from 1 species